ACGAGACUAGGAGAGGCGGUGCCGCGGGGAGGCGUGUCCGGCGUCGCUGCGGUGUCCGUCGCCUCGCAGACUUUACCGCCAGAGAUGUAGGCUCCUUGUGCGUCCGUGGUCCUUAAUUGGAAGCCACUCCCGAGUAUUAGGAAGGGAGGGAGAGACUUAUUUGCGUUCCCAUUGUUUGUGGCUCACUUAGGAGACCCUGGAGCCGCAAACUCUCGGUUAUUCCAGCCCAGCAUGGCCUACAGAGUGAGACCCUGUCUCAAAAAAAAAAAAAAAAAGAGAGGGCUGAAAAGAUGGCUCAGCACCUGCUGCUCUUCCAGAGGACCCAGUCGUAUGACAUCUACACUUCUUACAAUUUCCUCAUAUGAAAUGCACCACGAUCCUCUCAGUCAAGAAAAAUCUUGGGCUUCCUCGUCAGCCCCCAGCCUCUAGACAUCUUGCUGAAUCUCUGGAAUCGCUCUUCUUUCCCUCAGAGUUCCUCUUUAACAUUCUGUUUUAUAAAUCCGGCACGUGAGAUUUUAAUGGCUCUGUUGCAGCUUUCUCUUCUUCAGUCAGUAGAGUUAGCUAGAAAAACAAAGGACAAAAUGUUUAUUUCGAAACCUUCAAAGGAUGUUAAAUGAGUUAAAUUUUGCUUCAUUGCACAAAUUUUUUUAUAAUCUUAUACUACAUAUUUAGUCUUGAAACUUGAAAGGCAAGGGAAAACAAUAGCUAUC
rnacentral:lncRNA from 1 species